GGGUUGUGAGGUUAAGCGACUAAGCGUACACGGUGGAUGCCCUGGCAGUCAGAGGCGAUGAAGGACGUGCUAAUCUGCGAAAAGCGCCGGCGAGGUGAUAUGAACCCUUGACCCGGCGAUGUCCGAAUGGGGAAACCCAGUGCAAUCCGUUGCACUAUCGUUAACUGAAUACAUAGGUUAACGAGGCGAACCGGGGGAACUGAAACAUCUAAGUACCCCGAGGAAAAGAAAUCAACCGAGAUUCCCCCAGUAGCGGCGAGCGAACGGGGAGCAGCCCAGAGUCUGAAUCAGCUUGUGUGUU
rnacentral:rRNA from 1 species